rnacentral:tRNA from 1 species
GCCUGGGUGGCUCAGUCGGUUAAGCACCCAACUUUGACUCGGGUCAUGAUCUCACGGUUCGUGGGUUCGAGCCCCACGUCCGGCU